rnacentral:rRNA from 1 species
UACAGAGGUCUCAAGCGUUGUUCGGAUUCAUUGGGCGUAAAGGGUGCGUAGGCGGGCAGGUAAGUCCGUGGUGAAAUCUCUGAGCUUAACUCAGAAACUGCCAUGGAUACUAUUUGUCUUGAAUAUUGUGGAGGUGAGCGGAAUAUGUCAUGUAGCGGUGAAAUGCUUAGAUAUGACAUAGAACACCAAUUGCGAAGGCAGCUCACUACACAGUCAUUGGACGCUGAGGCACGAAAGCGUGGGGAUCAAACAGG